rnacentral:rRNA from 1 species
CGGGACGGGUGAGUAAUGUAUGGGGAUCUGCCUGAUGGGCGGGGGAUAACUACGGGAAACGGUAGCUAAUACCGCAUAAUGUCUACGGACCAAAGCGGGGGACCUCCGGGCCUCGCGCCAUCAGAUGAACCCAUAUGGGAUUAGCUAGUAGGUAAGGUAACGGCUUACCUAGGCGACGAUCCCUAGCUGGUCUGAGAGGAUGAUCAGCCACACUGGGACUGAGACACGGCCCAG